AAUCUGAGAUGUGUCAUCUCGGUGCUGAGGAAUGUGCAUUGGAGGCAGUGCUGGAGGUGACACUGUUGCUCAAGUAUGGCUGGUUAUGGUUAUGAAGCAGGCUGCGCCUGCUUCAUCCGUGGACAGAUGCUCACUCUGCCUGCCCCAACUCUUCUUGCUGCCACAGUUCUCCCUUUGGCUCUGCCAGCAGAAGAUGUCACUGUUCUCAAACCUGCACCCUUCCGAAAACAAGAGUGAGUCAUCACAGCAGAGAAGCAAUGGAUUUGUGGUCUUAAUGGACAUGCCAAGGAAUUACCAGGGCCUCAUGGUGGUGCAUCCGCCUGAAACGAGCAUCAUCACUGGAUUUGACAGGCACACUGAUGUAGCUGGAGAAUCUUACUUGAAGAGGUUCUCCCAGUAG
rnacentral:lncRNA from 1 species